UGUGAGGACAAAUGAAAGCAUCAUUAAACGUUCAGGGUCCAGAAACAAACAGUAAAGAUGUGUGUGUGUGUGUGUGUGUGUGUGUGUGUGUGUGUGUGUGUGUGUGUGUGUGUGUGUGUGCCUGUG